CUCAGAAGUAACUGAAUUUAUCUCAACUAAAGAACUCAUAAAUGUGGCCAACCAGGUGUUUCUCUUGGGGUGGAUCAUACUAACAGAUAAUACCUUCCCUUCACUCCCUACAAAGUGAAUUGCCGGUUUUCUUUCCUCCUUUUUUUUCCUCAGUCUAGCCCAAUGUGAGGAAUGUGCUGGAGCUUGAAGUCUUCACUCCCCACCUCCCAUAAGAGAGGAUGGGAGAAGCUUAUCUUUGUGACUCAAAAGUUGUUUCAUCUUUGAAGAAUGAAGAAACCGAUGGGGACAAGGAAAAGAAGACGCGUGUUAAGUUUGAUAGCAUCAUGAGCACAGGACUUAGAGCAACUUCUUGUUCGAGUUAGACCUCUGCACAGCGAAGAAGCAAAAAGUCCUGGAGCCGCAAGGAGAAUACGCAAGAGGGACUUGGACUUAGGCUUGGUGACUCAGGAA
rnacentral:lncRNA from 1 species